UACGGAGGGUGCAAGCGUUAUCCGGAUUCACUGGGUUUAAAGGGUGCGUAGGAGGGCAGGUAAGUCAGUGGUGAAAUCUCCGAGCUUAACUUGGAAACUGCCGUUGAUACUAGCUGUCUUGAAUAUUGUGGAGGUGAGCGGAAUAUGUCAUGUAGCGGUGAAAUGCUUAGAUAUGACAUAGAACACCAAUUGCGAAGGCAGCUCGCUACACAUAUAUUGACUCUGAGGCACGAAAGCGUGGGGAUCAAACAGG
rnacentral:rRNA from 1 species